rnacentral:rRNA from 1 species
GACGAACGCUGGCUGCGUGCUUAACACAUGCAAGUCGAACGGAAAGGCCCUGCUUGCAGGUUACUCGAGUGGCGAACGGGUGAGUAACACGUGGGUGAUCUGCCCUGCACUUCGGGAUAAGCCUGGGAAACUGGGUCUAAUACCGGAUAGGAGCCAUUUUUAGUGUGAUGGUUGGAAAGUUUUUUCGGUGUAGGAUGAUCUCGCUGCCUAUCAGCUUGUUGGUGGGGUAAUCGCCUACCAAGGCGGCGACGGGUAGCCGGCCUGUGAGGGUGGACGGCCACAUUGGGACUGAGAUACGGCGCAGACUCCUACGGGAGGCAGCAGUGGGGAAUAUUGCACAAUGGGCGCAAGCCUGAUGCAGCGACGCCGCGUGGGGGAUGACGGCCUUCGGGUUGUAAACUACGUUCGCUAGGGACGAAGCUUUUUGUGACGGUACCUAGAUAAGAAGCACCGGCUAACUACGUG